rnacentral:rRNA from 1 species
UGCGGAAGGAUCAUAGUAAACGUCUUUGACGCACUUCGUUCCGUCGUCCUCCGGACGUUAAGGCGCUCUGGUCGAGGAUAAACGACCCCUCUGACCGAGGCUAACCCGUCGCGCUUCCGUGUUACCGUCCGCGGCACACGUUAAAGAUCGUUCCGCGUUGUGAGUCUUGCUGGUUGUAAUAAACUGUUUACAACCGGUAGCGCUGGAUCCCUUGGCACGUCAUUCGAUGAAGACCGUUGCAAAUUGCGAUAAAGUGAUGUGAUGCGCAAGUCCACCACUUAUACGUGAAUCAUCGAGUUGUUGAACGCAUUGCACCGCGCCCUAAACCGGCUGCGGUAUGCCCCUUUGAGCGUCAUUACAUCCUUCGGGAGUCUCCUUUUCUGGAGACCCGAGUUCGGAGUCCUCGGUCCCUUGGGAUCGUGUUCUCUCAGAUGCAUCGCGCCGAUCGCUUUGAUGGGUMACUCUAAUGCCUGAGCGUGGAGUCCCUCUGAAGUCGAGACGCGUUUGACCGGGUGGUGAGCCCGUGUCGGCAAGUCCACGUCCGCUGCGACGUCGGUACUACAACCACAUGACCUCAUUGGGGUAGGACAACCCGCUAGACUUAAGCAUAUUAAUCAGCGGAGGAAAAGAAACUAACCAGGAUCCCUCAG